AUUGAACGCUGGCGGCAGGCUUAACACAUGCAAGUCGAGCGGGGUGAUGGUGCUUGCACUAUCACUUAGCGGCGGACGGGUGAGUAAUGCUUAGGAAUCUGCCUAUUAGUUGGGGACAACAUCUCGAAAGGGAUGCUAAUACCGCAUACGUCCUACGGGAGAAAGCAGGGGAUCACUUGUGCCCUUGCGCUAAUAGAUGAGCAUAAGUCGGAUUGGCUAGUUGGUGGGGUAAGGGCCUACCAAGGCGACGAUCUGUAGCGGGUCUGAGAGGAUGAUCCGCCACACUGGGACUGAGACACGGCCCAGACUCCCACGGGAGGCAGCAGUGGGGAAUAUUGGACAAUGGGGGGAACCCUGAUCCAGCCAUGCCGCGUGUGUGAAGAAGGCCUUAUGGUUGUAAAGCACUUUAAGCGAGGAGGAGGCUCUUUUGGUUAAUACCCAAGAUGAGUGGACGUUACUCGCAGAAUAAGCACCGGCUAACUCUGUGCCAGCAGCCGCCGUAA
rnacentral:rRNA from 1 species